GCUCCCACGUGGUGUGCCGCGAGCCGCCGGUAACGCCGCCGCCUGAGGGGGCGGCUCUCGUCAGGGCGGGCGGCCCUCGGGGCUCCGUUCGGGCGGCCCUCGGGGCUCGGUUCGGGCGGCGGGGAAGGUCCGAACGCCCCGCAGCCAUGCAGCGGCGGAAGGUUGACAACCGUAUUCGGGUACUGAUCGAGAACGGGGUGGCGGAGCGGCAGCGGGCCCUCUUCGUGGUGGUCGGUGACCGCGGCAAGGACCAGGUGGUUAUACUUCAUCACAUGUUGUCUAAAGCAACUGUAAAGGCCAGACCCUCUGUCCUAUGGUGUUACAAAAAGGAGCUGGGCUUUAGCAGCCACCGGAAGAAGAGGAUGAGACAACUACAGAAGAAGAUUAAAAGUGGAACUUUAAACAUAAAGGACGAUGAUCCUUUUGAGUUAUUUAUAGCAGCCACAAACAUUCGCUACUGCUAUUACAAUGAAACUCACAAGAUUCUUGGUAACACUUUUGGCAUGUGUGUACUUCAGGAUUUUGAAGCCUUGACUCCAAACCUGCUAGCUAGAACUGUUGAAACAGUAGAAGGGGGUGGAAUUGUGGUGAUCCUCCUGAGAACUAUGAACUCACUGAAGCAGCUUUAUACAAUGACCAUGGACGUACACUCUCGAUAUAGAACAGAGGCACACCAAGACGUGGUAGGACGGUUUAACGAGAGGUUCAUUCUGUCUCUGGCCUCAUGCAAGAAUUGCAUUGUGAUUGAUGAUCAGCUGAAUAUCUUGCCCAUCUCCAGUCAUGUUGCAAACAUCACACCUGUUCCACCGCAGUCACAGGAAGAUAGCCUCCGGCCGCAGGACUUGGAGCUAAAAGAACUGAAGGAGAGCUUACAGGAUACACAGCCUGUAGGAGUUUUGGUGGAUGGCUGUAAAACCCUGGAUCAGGCAAAAGCAGUUCUAAAAUUUAUUGAAGCCAUAUCUGAGAAGACUCUACGGAGCACUGUGGCAUUAACAGCAGCCAGGGGACGUGGUAAAUCUGCUGCUUUGGGAUUGGCUAUUGCUGGGGCAGUAGCUUUUGGUUACUCCAAUAUCUUUGUCACAUCUCCAAGCCCUGAUAACCUUCACACUCUCUUUGAGUUCAUAUUUAAAGGCUUUGAUGCACUGCAGUAUCAGGAACAUCUAGACUAUGAGAUUGUUCAGUCUUUAAAUCCGGAGUUUAACAAGGCUGUUGUCAGAGUGAAUGUGUUCAAGGAGCACAGACAGACCAUUCAGUACAUACACCCUGCUGAUUCUGUGAAACUGGGUCAAGCUGAACUUGUUGUGAUUGAUGAAGCUGCUGCCAUUCCUCUACCCCUGGUGAAAAACCUGCUGGGCCCUUACCUUGUUUUCAUGGCUUCUACAAUCAACGGGUAUGAGGGUACUGGUCGAUCGCUAUCUCUGAAGCUGAUUCAGCAGCUCCGUCAGCAGAGUGCACAAGCCCAAGUCACCAUGACAGCAGAGAACAAAUCUACAGCUACGGCUAAACUCACCUCAGCUCGUACAUUGCAUGAAGUCUCCCUCCAUGAAUCAAUCAGAUAUGCCCCUGGUGACCCAGUUGAAAAGUGGCUAAAUGAUCUGCUGUGUUUGGACUGUCUCAACAUCACCAGAAUUAUCUCCGGCUGCCCACUGCCUGAGACUUGUGACCUAUACUAUGUAAAUAGAGACACACUUUUUUGUUACCACAGAGCAUCAGAAGUUUUUCUGCAGAGACUGAUGGCCCUCUAUGUGGCUUCACACUACAAGAACUCACCCAAUGACCUCCAGAUGCUAUCUGAUGCACCUGCCCAUCAUCUUUUUUGCCUUUUGCCACCUGUUCCACCUACCCAGAAUUCAUUACCAGAAGUACUGGCUGUCGUUCAGGUGUGCAUGGAGGGAGAGAUCUCUCGCCAGUCUAUCAUGAACAGCCUUUCUAGGGGGAAGAAAGCUUCUGGUGAUCUUAUUCCCUGGACCAUUUCAGAGCAGUUUCAAGAUCCAGACUUCGGGGGCCUCUCUGGUGGGCGUGUUGUUCGUAUUGCAGUUCAUCCAGAUUAUCAGGGGAUGGGCUAUGGCAGCAGAGCUCUGACUUUACUGCAGAUGUACUAUGAAGGUAAAUUCCCAUGUUUGGAAGAAAAAACAAUUCAAAAGCCAAAAGAAAUUGCAACUGUAAGCAGUGAGACUGUUAGUUUAUUAGAAGAGGUUGUGACACCUCGGAAAGACUUGCCUCCUUUACUUCUCAAACUGAGUGAGAGACAAGCUGAAAACCUAGACUAUCUAGGGGUAUCUUACGGCCUAACACCAAGAUUACUCAAGUUUUGGAAACGUGCUGGAUUUGUGCCCGUUUAUCUAAGGCAGACACCAAAUGACCUGACUGGUGAGCAUUCGUGCAUCAUGCUGAAGAUGCUGAAUGAAGAGGACUCCGAACAGGAGCCUUGGCUUACUGCCUUCUGGAAAGAUUUUAGGAGGCGGUUCCUUUCUCUGCUUUCCUACCAGUUCAGAACGUUCUCCCCCUCGCUGGCAUUGAAUAUUCUACAGAACAAAAAUAUCAAACAGCAGCCACAACCACCCAUCAGCCGUGCUGAAUUGGAAUCAGUUUUCAUCCCAUAUGACCUGAAGAGAUUAGAGAUGUACUCUCGCAACAUGGUGGAUUAUCAUCUCAUCAUGGAUAUGGUACCUACCAUUGCCAGGAUGUUUUUUCUCAACCAGAUGGGUGAUAUAACUCUCUCUGCUGCACAGUCGGCCCUUUUUCUAGGGAUUGGCCUACAGCAUAAAUCUCUGGACCAGCUGGAAAAAGAGGUAGAACUGCCCAGCAGUCAGUUGAUGGGGCUCUUCAACAGAAUCAUCCGCAAAGUGGUCCAGUUGUUCAACACAGUCCAGGAAAAAGCUGUGGAGGAGCAGAUGGUGGCAACAAAGGAUAUUGUGAUGGAGCCAACACUGAAAUCUUUAAAUGAUGAUUUGGAAGAAGCUGCAAAGGAAUUCCAAGAAAAACACAAGCAAGAAGUGGGGAAGCUGAAGGAAAUGGACCUUACACAAUGUACUCUACUCAGCACUCUGCUUUUCUGAUGAGAGGCUUUCAUAGAACAGUUUUGUGAUGUUUACAAUAGGGGCUCCUGAGAGAACUUCAUUCAACACUGACCAGCUUUGGAUGGGGACAAUUGUUGGUUGCUAUUGACCUAGUUUGGACUGAGUCUGCUGACAGAGUCGUGACAAGCUAUUAUAUAUUAUCCGGGGUGACGACGAAGAAUGGGAAGAAGUGCUGAGCAAAGCAGGACAGAACGCUUCCGUCGUCAGUUUGAAAAGUGAGAAGAAGAGAAAAUUGGAAACAGCAAGAGGACCCAAACAACAGAAGAAAUUUAAGAAGACUAAAGAUAUAAAGCAGAAGUGGAAGAAAUAACUUUAAAGCCACUCAGUGAACUUGGAAUUAACAAGUGACGGGUCUGUACUUACGAAGUACUAUUCUCCUUUAAAUCAAAAGACUUUCUUUUGGAGGGUGAGAGCUGGAGGGAAGGGAAAGCCUUAGAGGCAUUUUUAAAGUGUUUGUAUUACUGGAAGUACAGUGACACUGCCAGGAGACAGUCUAUGAAGAUUUUUUUAUGAAGUGUGACUGUAGAGCUUGAGUGAGGCACUGUGCAACACACUGGGAUAUUAUGAGGGUGCUUUAGCAGCUACAGAGUUUCCCUUCAAAGGGGGCCGAUCAAUCUGUAAACUUUCCCACAUCUUAAUGGUUGGUGUCUUUAUUAAAAAAGAGUUUGGACAACAAAGGA